rnacentral:rRNA from 1 species
GAUGAACGCUAGCUACAGGCUUAACACAUGCAAGUCGAGGGACCGGCGCACGGGUGAGUAACGAGUAUCCAACCUGCCCAUAAGUAGGGUAUAACCCGCAGAAAUGCGGACUAAUCACCUAUGCUUAUGGAUGGGGAUGCGUCUGAUUAGCUUGUUGGUGAGGUAACGGCGCACCAAGGCUUCGAUCGGUAGGGGUUCGGAUAGGAAGGCCCACCGCAUAGGAACUGCGACACGGUCCUAAAUCCUACGGGAGGCAGGAGUGAGUAAGAUUGGUCAAUGGGCGAGAGCCUGAACAAGCCAAGUAGCGUGCAGAAUGACGGCCUAUGGGUUGUAAACUGCUUUUAUGCGGGGAUAGGUACCGCAUGAAUAAGGACCGGCUAAUUCCGUGCCAGCAGCCGCGGUAAUUC